CCUACGGGUGGCAGCAGUGAGGAAUAUUGGUCAAUGGGCGCAAGCCUGAACCAGCCAAGUCGCGUGAAGGAAGAAGGACCUACGGGUUGUAAACUUCUUUUAUAAGGGAAUAAAGGGAGUCACGUGUGCAUAUUUGUAUGUACGUUAUGAAUAAGGAUCGGCUAACUCCGUGCCAGCAGCCGCGGUAAUACGGAGGAUGCGAGCGUUAUUCGGAUUUAUUGGGUUUAAAGGGAGCGUAGGUGGUUUUUUAAGUCAGCGGUGAAAGUUUGUGGCUCAACCUUAAAAUUGCAAUUGAUACUGGCAGCCUUGAGUGUAGUUGAGGUAGGCGGAAUGCGUGGUGUAGCGGUGAAAUGCAUAGAUAUCACGAAGAACUCCGAUUGCGAAGGCAGCCUACUAAGCCGCAACUGACACUGAUGCACGAAAGCGUGGGGAUCAAACAGGAUUAGAUACCCUAGUAGUC
rnacentral:rRNA from 1 species